rnacentral:tRNA from 1 species
GCGGGAAUAGCUCAGCUGGUAGAGCGCAACCUUGCCAAGGUUGAGGUCGCGAGUUCGAACCUCGUCUUUCGCUCCA